rnacentral:lncRNA from 1 species
UUCUUGGCUGAUCCCUUUCGCUGUAUGGCGUGCUCGUUUGGGUUGGGCGUCGGCUAAGAGUGCUCGGAGCGUGGAUUAACUCCAGUCUCCUAUCAGGUGUGUAUUUCUUACUACUCUAGCUGUAGGAUGGCUACUUGAGGCCGCGAUGGGCCGAAAGGGGUCAUGUGGGCCUAAUGGGCCUACGGGCCGAAUUGGAUAAGUUGUUUGAUUGUGUAGUAAAUAUUGGGCUAGGCUAGGUGAAUCUAAUAUUUGUGGCUAGAUUUGGGCUAAAAGGGCCACACGAGCGUGUGGGCCCAUUUGGGCCGAGAAUGGGCUUUAUGGCCAUUAGUAUUGUUAUCCAUAUUUAGAAUACUUUAGUUUACCAAUUAUUGUAAUACCCUCAACUUGUAAAAUUACCAAAGUACCCCCGAUUUACAUAAUUACCAUUUUACCCUCGAUUUAUAAAAUUAUCGUUUUACCCUCGAUUUAUAGAAUUACUAUUUUACCCUUGAUUUACAGAAUUACUAUUUUACCCUCGAUUUACAAAAUUACUAAAAUACCCUUGGUUUACAAAAUUACCAAAAUACCCUCAAUCAGUAAAAUUACCAAAAUACCCUGGUCUGUAAAAUUGCUAAAAUACCCCUGGUUUGUAAAAUUACCAAAAUACCCCUAGUUUGUAAAAUUACCAACAUACCACUGGUUUGUGAAAUUAUCGAAAUACCCUUAAUUUGUAAAAUUACAAAAAUACCUCUGAUUUACAAAAUUAUAGAAAUACCCUUGACUUUCUAAAAAUUAUAGAAAUACCAUUGGUUUACAAAAUUACUGAAAUACCCUUGGUUUGUAGAUUUACCAAAACACCCUUGUAGGGUGAAAUGACUAAAAUACCCCUAUUAGGUAAAAAGAUCGUAAAGCCCCUGUAGGGUAAAGUGACCGUAAAGCCCCUGUAGGGUAAAGUGACCGUAAUACCCCUGUAUGGUAAAAUGACGAAUAUACCCUUAUGUUCCGUAUGACUGAUGUGCUUAGGAUUUACAUAUAUUGAUAUUGGACUAGUUAAGUUUGAGUGAUAGGUGGUGGUUAUCUAGGUGAUUGAUUUUGGAAACAUUUCAACUUCAACCCGUAACAGGUGUGUACUAACCCUCAUAAUAGCUUAGAUUAAUAUUUGCUGAGAAGCCGAAAUGCUAAAAUACUAGUAUUUUGGGAACUUGUAAUGUUGCGUUUGGGUAUAGAUGCGAUAAAUACGAUAAGAUCGGUGUUUGGAUCGAUGGAACAUGUAAGAACUCAAUUUUUUACACGAUGGUAAGUUGGGCCUCAAUGGGCUGGAAUCGGGCCCAUUUGGGUAAAACUGAUAGAAAAUGGAAUUUGGAAAAGUUGCAUGUUAACACGGUUAGUACUGUUGUAAAAUUUAGAUUAUGUGGGCUUAAUGGGCUAAAUCGGCAUUCGUAGGGCCCAUUAGAGGUUUUGGGCCCAAAAGCCUGAGUUUGAUAAAGUGGGUUAAAGAUCAUUGUUUAAACACUCGGAAAUAUUGAUAAUUUUUGAUGAACAUUGAAAACCCUGAUAUUUGGUAAAAUUACGAAAUUACCCUUAUAAUGGGAAAAAUGACUAUUUUGCCCUUGUGGGCAAGUGACUGACUUGGACUGUGUGGUUGACGGAUUUGAUUGUGAAUAUAUGUUGGUGAUAUGAAUGACUUGACUGUGAUUGUUUGAUUCAAAUAUGGGCAUGACAUUCUGCAUAUAUGACAUGUUGCAUGGGUUGGGUUUUAUAAAUGGAGGAAGUGCUAAAAGGGCUAUCCCCCAGUUUACCGAAAAGGGCUUUGCCCUAGUUUAUCAAAAGGGCUUUGCCCCAGUUAUUAAAAGAGGCUAGGCCUCCAGAUAUAUGAUAAAGCAGCUAUGCUGCCAGUGGUGUGUUGGUUGGGUGGGUUGAAUCAUUCCCCAUACGGUUUGUUGGUUGGUACGGGUGGAGAGUAGCGGAUGGUGGGUCGAGUAGUCUCCCCAAAUGGGCUUGCAUACAUCCAUUGACAUUACAUGUGAUAUUGAAAUGGGCCUAAGGGCCAUACCGUUUACAGUAAAGGCUUCGGCCUAGUGAUAUGAUUUAUGAAAAGGCUUCGGCCCAGAGAUAUGAUUUAUGAUAAGGCUUCGGCCCAGUGAUAUGAUUUAUGAUAAGGCUUCGGCCCAGUAAUAUGAUUUAUGAUAAGGCUUUGGCCCAGUGAUAUGAUUUAUGAAAAGGCUUCAGCCCAGUAACCGUUAAACGAAAAGCUUCGGCCCAGUAUAUGCCAAGACUAAAAAGAGCUUUGGCCCAGAUUGUACUGACACUGUGUUUUCACUGUUUGUUUGUUCUUGGGAUUACACACUGAGUUUUCGUAAACUCACCUCGUUUCUAACUAUGCAGGUAAUCCCUAAGUUUAGAUGGUUUGGAGCUGCGAGGGACUCGGAGAUGGCCACACUACUGUUUCUGGUUCUUUAAAUUGCAAUAAGUAGCUGAUUUAUUUCUUUAUAAGUUUUAUCUUAUUAAUAUUAUUAUUUGUUUUUGGGUUGUAAUAAGGCCAUUUUAAUUAUUUUUCUGGGAUUAUUUUAUUUUAUACCCUAUAUUUUUUUUAUAACAAUAUAAAUUAG